UACAGAGGUGGCAAGCGUUGUUCGGAAUUACUGGGCGUAAAGCGCACGUAGGCGGACAUUUAAGUCGGGGGUGAAAUCCCGGAGCUCAACUCCGGAACUGCCUUUGAUACUGGGUGUCUUGAGUGUGGAAGAGGUGAGUGGAAUUCCGAGUGUAGAGGUGAAAUUCGUAGAUAUUCGGAGGAACACCAGUGGCGAAGGCGGCUCACUGGUCCAUUACUGACGCUGAGGUGCGAAAGCGUGGGGAGCAAACAGG
rnacentral:rRNA from 1 species